GAUUAAGUUAUUAAGGGCGCACGGUGGAUGCCUUGGCACUAGAAGCCGAUGAAGGACGUUACUAACGACGAUAUGCUUUGGGGAGCUGUAAGUAAGCUUUGAUCCAGAGAUUUCCGAAUGGGGAAACCCAGCAUGAGUUAUGUCAUGUUAUCGAUAUGUGAAUACAUAGCAUAUCAGAAGGCACACCCGGAGAACUGAAACAUCUUAGUACCCGGAGGAAGAGAAAGAAAAUUCGAUUCCCUUAGUAGCGGCGAGCGAAACGGGAAGAGCCCAAACCAACAAGCUUGCUUGUUGGGGUUGUAGGACACUCUAUACGGAGUUACAAAGGACGACAUUAGACGAAUCAUCUGGAAAGAUGAAUCAAAGAAGGUAAUAAUCCUGUAGUCGAAAAUGUUGUCUCUCUUGAGUGGAUCCUGAGUACGACGGAGCACGUGAAAUUCCGUCGGAAUCUCGGA
rnacentral:rRNA from 1 species